UACAGAGGUCCCAAGCGUUGUUCGGAUUCACUGGGCGUAAAGGGUGCGUAGGUGGUUAGGUAAGUCCGAUGUGAAAUCUCCAGGCUCAACCUGGAAAUGGCAUUGGAUACUAUUUAGCUUGAGGAGUGGAGGGGGGACUGGAAUUCUCGGUGUAGCAGUGAAAUGCGUAGAGAUGUGGAGGAACACCAGUGGCGAAGGCGACUCUCUGGGCUGUAACUGACGCUGAGGCGCGAAAGCGUGGGGAGCAAACAGG
rnacentral:rRNA from 1 species